GAUGAAGAGCGUAGCGAAAUGCGAUACUUGGUGUGAAUUGCAGAAUCCCGUGAACCAUCGAGUCUUUGAACGCAAGUUGCGCCUCAAGCCAUUAGGUUGAGGGCACGUCUGCCUGGGCGUCACAUAUCGUUGCCUGAUGCCAGUUUCCUCGUGAUGGGUGACUGUGCAGGGCGAAUGAUGGCUUCCCGUGAGCAUUGUUGCCUCAUGGUUGGUUGAAAAUUGAGUCCUUGGUAGGGAGCGCCGUGAUAGAUGGUGGUUGAGUGACGAACGAGACCCAAUCAUGUGAGACCCCUACCGAAUUUGGCCUUCAUGACCCACAUGCGUCUUUGGAACGCUCAUGACGAGACCUCAGGUCAGGCGGGGCUACCCGCUGAGUUUAAGCAUAUCAAUAAGCGGAGGA
rnacentral:misc_RNA from 1 species